rnacentral:rRNA from 1 species
CCUACGGGAGGCUGCAGUGAGGAAUAUUGGUCAAUGGGCGGGAGCCUGAACCAGCCAAGCCGCGUGAGGGAAGAAGGUACAGCGUAUCGUAAACCUCUUUUGUCAGGGAACAAAGGCGGGGACUAGUCCCCGGAUGAGGGUACCUGAAGAAAAAGCAUCGGCUAACUCCGUGCCAGCAGCCGCGGUAAUACGGAGGAUGCGAGCGUUAUCCGGAUUUAUGGGGUUUAAAGGGUGCGCAGGCGGCCUGUUAAGUCAGCGGUAAAAGCCCGGGGCUCAACCCCGGCGAGCCGUUGAAACUGGCGGGCUGGAGUUGGAGAGAAGUACGCGGAAUGCGCGGUGUAGCGGUGAAAUGCUUAGAUAUCGCGCAGAACCCCGAUUGCGAAGGCAGCGUACCGGCUCCACACUGACGCUGAGGCACGAAAGCGUGGGUAUCGAACAGGAUUAGAUACCCCAGUAGUC